rnacentral:rRNA from 1 species
GAUGAACGCUAGCUACAGGCUUAACACAUGCAAGUCGAGGGGUAACGAGAGGAAAGCUUGCCUUCCUUGACGACGACCGGCGCACGGGUGAGUAACGCGUAUCCAACCUGCCCCCAACUAGGGAAUAACCUUGCGAAAGUACGACUAAUACCCUAUAAUUUCCUAAGAUGACAUCUGACGAGGAAUAAAGAUUUAUCGGUUGCGGAUGGGGAUGGGUCGGAUUAGCUUGUUGGGGGGGUAACGGACCACCAAGGCAACGAUCAGUAGGGGUUCUGAGAGGAAGGUCCCCCACAUUGGAACUGAGACACGGUCCAAACUCCUACGGGAGGUAGCAGUGAGGAAUAUUGGUCAAUGGGCGGAAGCCUGAACCAGCCAAGUAGCAUGCAGGAUGACGGCCCUAUGGGUUGUAAACUGCUUUUAUACAGGAAUAAAGUUAGCCACGUGUGGUUAUUUGUAGGUACUGUAUGAAUAAGGACCGGCUAAUUCCGUGCCAGCAGCCGCCGUAA